CUUGAAGGAAUUGUAAAGCGGGAUGAGAAGUGUCGCAAAAGAAUCAAUUCUGCUGGUAUCGAUUACGAGUGUCCAGCCCCUGUAAGUAACACUUGAUGCUAUUCAUUGAUUUAAUAAAUUGAUCUUACUUCAUCAGAUUUGAAUUAGCUCAGCAAUUUGCCACAUAAUUGUAAUUGUAUUAAGAAAAUUUCAACUUUUUGUUGACCUGGAGCAAAAGGCAUGCAAUUGUAGUGCCCUAGAGCCAAAUUUGCAUGUGUUACUGUGUAGGUCCUUGAUAUUUAUAGUACUGGUUGUUUAUUCUUAUCUACAUUUGCUUACUGAAAUAAUUUAUGUAUUGGCACCAAGGUUCGUCCCAGGCUUUGCUUAACCAUAUUUUGAGUUGUGCUUCAAUUGUUUUUCGUUUCAUGCCGUAUGUGGCAGUUACUCUCUGGAGAUAAGUUGUACCGAAUAAACAGUUCAGAAUUGAUCACUACAUUAGCUCCAUGUAAUCUCAUGUAAAAAUGCAGCUCCAUGACCCGCUUGAAAGAGAGGAGAAGGGUUGCCUCCCGUCCGUCUCAUCCCAUCCCCUUGUGCCAGCCAUGAAAGAGAGGAGGGAGAGCUGAAAUGAGCGUGGUGGCAAUGCGCCGAUGCUGGCCGGUUGAGGCAUGGUCGACGUGUCAGUCAAGGGGUCCCUCGGCCAUGGAAUAGUUGUGAGGGAGAGCACCCCUUUAGCGCCUCUCCGCAUAGUUCUUCCUUCCCCUACCGCCGGUCAACAGUUUGAUAUCCUUGUCCAAGGCCGGUGUGUACAGUUUCAGCCUCGUUCCCAUGGAUGGCAAAGUCUGUCUUGUCAUGAUGCGCAGGUACACACAUAGGCAUACCAAAAUCGUUAUUGAUUUAUCCAUACAGUUUCAUGUCCAGAUUGACAUUUAUUUGGGGGAAGUGCUAUUGAUUUAUUUUAUUCAGCGCCACGAGUGUUCAGUGUUGAUUUUGUGGGCAGGCGUUUUAGUGAGCUAGCAAGGGGGCGUAGUGGAUCUGUCAUCAUUUUGUUUAAAAUGGUUGAAAGAUGUUCAACGUUGGCUCUAUACUCAAGUCUGAUAUAUCUUGUAUUUAUUCUAUAGUUAAGUACAGUAGUUUCAGAUUCUUUUACAAGUGCUUCAUGAUUUUACCUUGUGUGCAGAAAUCUUCUAAGUUGCCGCUGAAGGGAGAAGACAUGGGGUCGGAAAAAUGUUAAGAUUGACUUGAUGUGUGGUAAGGAAAAGUCAGUCGAAAAGUUUUUGAUGCUUGAGCAUUCACUACUCAGUUAUUCUUUUAGGUACGCAUAAUCUUCCAAGUUAUAAUCAAUUCCUUUUAUUUGGGCACGCAUAAUGACCAUUCCUCGGCAUCAAGUUCUUCUGGUUAGUAAUUAAUACUCCCUUCCCAUAUGGAUUUUCAUGAUGGUUGUUCAUUUUUUGGGAUAGCUUACCAGGCUUAUGCCUUGAAA
rnacentral:lncRNA from 1 species